UGGGGAAUUUUGGACAAUGGGCGCAAGCCUGAUCCAGCCAUGCCGCGUGCAGGAUGAAGGCCUUCGGGUUGUAAACUGCUUUUGUACGGAACGAAAAGUCUCUUUCUAAUAGAGGGAUCAUGACGGUACCGUAAGAAUAAGCACCGGCUAACUUCGUGCCAGCAGCCGCGGUAAUACGAAGGGUGCAAGCGUUACUCGGAAUUACUGGGCGUAAAGCGUGCGUAGGUGGUGGUUUAAGUCUGCUGUGAAAGCCCUGGGCUCAACCUGGGAAUUGCAGUGGAUACUGGAUCACUAGAGUGUGGUAGAGGGAUGCGGAAUUUCUGGUGUAGCAGUGAAAUGCGUAGAUAUGCGGAGGAACACCGAUGGCGAAGGCAAUCCCCUGGACCUGUACUGACGCUCAUGCACGAAAGCGUGGGGAGCAAACA
rnacentral:rRNA from 1 species